AGUGAACGCUGGCGGCGUGCUUAACACAUGCAAGUCGAACGAGAACGGGCUAUAGCUUGCUAUAGUUGUCAGCUAAGUGGCGCACGGGUGAGUAAUGUAUAGGUAAUAUGCCUCUUACUAAGGGAUAACAAAUGGAAACGUUUGCUAAUACCUUAUACUCCUUAUUAACAGAAGUUAAUAAGGAAAAGAUUUAUUGGUAAGAGAUUAGCCUGUAUUGUAUCAGUUAGUUGGUGGGGUAAUGGCCUACCAAGACUAUGACACAUAACUGGUUUGAGAGGAUGAUCAGUCACACUGGAACUGAGACACGGUCCAGACUCCUACGGGAGGCAGCAGUGGGGAAUAUUGCACAAUGGACGAAAGUCUGAUGCAGCAACGCCGCGUGGAGGAUGACACAUUUCGGUGCGUAAACUCCUUUUAUAUGAGAAGAUAAUGACGGUAUUAUAUGAAUAAGCACCGGCUAACUCCGUGCCAGCCGCCGCAGUAA
rnacentral:rRNA from 1 species